rnacentral:rRNA from 1 species
AUUGAACGCUGGCGGCAUGCUUUACACAUGCAAGUCGAACGGUAACAGGCCGCAAGGUGCUGACGAGUGGCGAACGGGUGAGUAAUGCAUCGGAACGUGCCCAGUCGUGGGGGAUAACGCAGCGAAAGCUGUGCUAAUACCGCAUACGAUCUAUGGAUGAAAGCGGGGGACCGUAAGGCCUCGCGCGGUUGGAGCGGCCGAUGUCAGAUUAGGUAGUUGGUGGGGUAAAGGCUCACCAAGCCAACGAUCUGUAGCUGGUCUGAGAGGACGACCAGCCACACUGGGACUGAGACACGGCCCAGACUCCUACGGGAGGCAGCAGUGGGGAAUUUUGGACAAUGGGCGCAAGCCUGAUCCAGCAAUGCCGCGUGCAGGAAGAAGGCCUUCGGGUUGUAAACUGCUUUUGUACGGAACGAAACGGUCCUGGUUAAUACCCGGGGCUAAUGACGGUACCGUAAGAAUAAGCACCGGCUAACUACGUGCCAGCCGCCGCAGUAAUAC